GAUGAACGCUGGCGGCGUGCUUAACACAUGCAAGUCGAACGAUGAAAGCGGGAGCUUGCUCCUGCUGGAUUAGUGGCGAACGGGUGAGUAACACGUGAGCAACCUGCCCCGAACUCUGGGAUAAGCGUUGGAAACGACGUCUAAUACCGGAUACGACGCGCGAAGGCAUCUUCUGCGCGUGGAAAGAAUUUCGGUUCGGGAUGAGCUCGCGGCCUAUCAGCUAGUUGGUGAGGUAACGGCUCACCAAGGCGACGACGGGUAGCCGGCCUGAGAGGGUGACCGGCCACACUGGGACUGGGACACGGCCCAGACUCCUACGGGAGGCAGCAGUGGGGAAUAUUGCACAAUGGGCGAAAGCCUGAUGCAGCAACGCCGCGUGAGGGACGACGGCCUUCGGGUUGUAAACCUCUUUUAGCAGGGAAGAAGCGAAAGUGACGGUACCUGCAGAAAAAGCACCGGCUAACUACGUGCCAGCCGCCGCCGUAACAC
rnacentral:rRNA from 1 species